AUGCUGAACGAUGAUGAAUCGUUGUUGAUGGUGAUGCUGAACGAUGAUGAAUCACUCUUGAGGAAUGGUGGAUUGAGGAACGAUGCGGAGAAAAAGGUAGGCAGGAGGUACAACAAGGUAGCGUAUUUGUGGUGGCAUAAGUGUACUGUUUUAGGGCGUAGCAUGAUAUUUGAAUGCAAGGCAGUUGACGAAGCAAGGAGUUUAGACACAAAGGCUAGUGAAGAUGAAAGCAAAGCUUUGGCCAUGGAGUUGAUGAAGGUGAAAGCGAAAACAUGGUUGAAGCUUAAAGUUAGGUGA